AGGGUGAUUGUGGAGCAAUUGCGUCUAAAUCACGAAACGUUUUCUUCCACUGAGAUUGUCGGUUGGAAUCCCGCUGGAGGCAUGGAUGUCUGCAUGUAUUCUGUGCUUGUGUUGUGUGUAUAGGUAGCGGCCUUCUGACCUGACCCUUCCGACCUUCCGACCGGCUGAUCCGGUGUCCAAGGAGGCCUACCGACCGCUAAGAUACUGAAAAAGCGGCCGAUGUCCGCAAGGGCUUUACAGCCGUAGAUAGAUAGGAGGAAUGGAGAGGAAGUUUUUGAGUUAAUUAAACCAAAUUUCAUAAAUGUGUGGCGUAUGGGAUUUCAGUAUUAAGUUUUCAAAACGUGUCGACGUAAGAUUUUGCAGUAAGUGGACAAUUAUGGUAUGUAGGAGCACGUGUAAUGUUAAUCAUAUAUGUUCCUGUAGUUUGAAGCUGGCAGUAUGUAGAGUAUUCGUAUUUGUGGGCUGUUUCCGUCCUCAGAUACAGGAUAAGGUAAGGAAUCCUAGCUGGUUGGGCCUCCUUCCCAGGCCACAGUUUAGUUAUCCUGUCAGUACCAAGGAAACAAUGAGUUUAUCGAACAGCAGGGUUUGAAGAAAGUGGGACUGCAGGCAGCGUUCAAAAUACCUAGUGAAAAGAUCAUUUGAAAAGGCAUCUGAAUAACCAACCUGUAGAUGGAUUAUAAUUAAUGAUCGUGUAAGCGUAGUAUAAUUGUUACUACUUGUUUGACAGUUCUGGAGAGGCACCUGUGGAGAGACUGUCAUUGCAACUGAUGUCAGAGCGAGACAAAAACGUAACAGAUUCCCUGCCUUUGCUAUAUGUUCUGUGAUGACAUCCUGUGUGGGAGUCCUGGAAUUGGGGCAUCAGUGAAGGGUGGCCGUUCCCAGCAAUGAAGGAUGUCAAGUUUCUGAGUGAGCAGGAGCCACAUGGUAUCUUCCUCUCUAUGGAUCCAUUAUAUUGGCAGUUCGAGAGCUGUAUCAGUGAAGAAAAUCUGUAUCAAGUUUGUGGGUGAGCAAGGAUUGUGCAGCAUCUGCCUCUUCCCUUGUGCAGCGUCUACAAGGAGCCCCCUGUACCACAGGCCAGAUCAUAGUCUGUGCUGGACGUGUUUGUGUAUGGGAGGUUUCUGAGAUGUUGCAGCUUCUGAUUGCAAGAAUUUCACAACAAGCGGAGGCCUGCGACUCACCAGCAUGAGACCUCAAGUGACUCGUCUGCCAUAAGAGGAAGAAGUUGUUGCUUUCUCGCAGGCAGCACGCAUUUUGAUGGAGUGUGAUAUGGGAGUUCCAUAAUGAAACCUGUCUAAAGCAUUAUAUCAGCUUCCACUUUGGUUGGUCUAAAUCACUUUCAUGUAUGUCUUACAGAAGUGUUAGAAGUUACAAACGUUUGGUAAAGUUUUUGUGUAUGUGUAAAAUGGACUCUUUAUGCUUGCACAUUACCUCUCUUUUGCUAGUUUCUUCGAAUAAAGUACAGCCAAUGAUAUCUCUUUCCCAAAACUCGUCCUGUAAACUGUGGCUCUCAUAUUUGCAUACAGUAUCAUCAUCUGACAAUUUGGAUUAAUUGACAGUAAUUGUUGUCUUCUUAGAUGUGAGGCCAUGUAGACUGGUAGAAUGUUACCACCACUUUGGAGGAACAUGUAAGUGAUAACACCCUGAAGAUGGAGGCCUCAC